GGGUGAUUAGCUCAGCUGGGAGAGCACCUCCCUUACAAGGAGGGGGUCGGUCGUUAGCUCA
rnacentral:tRNA from 1 species